AUGAGCUCACACAUAAGUCUGAAUCACUUGAAGCUGAACUUGACAAAACAAACAAUCAGUUAAAAGAGGCCAGAACUACUGCUGAUGUGGAGAAUUUGAAGUGCAAAGCAGCAAAAGAAGUUAUCAGCUCCCUUACUACUCAGAUGAAAAGUAUAACCGAAAGAGCACCUGAAGGCUGGACUGUCGAUGACAACUGGACUGGUCAAGUAGUAUCAAAGUUGUUAGGAAAUCAGUUCCACGAGAAUAAUUUGAACGAUGUGUCAAGGUCGCCUGAUUCCAGUGUCCACGUGGCCCAACAGUUACCUUGCAAAGGAAAUAGCAUUGGUAGCAAACACAUAUUGGGUCGAACAGGUAGAACAUGGGGUAUACAUUACGCUAUUCCGCUCACCGGCAGGUCAUAAAUACCUCUGGCGUGUCCGUUUUAGGUAUUGAUAUGUUCUGGCAUCAUCCGAUUCUCCAAAAACUCUGUACUCAGUUCUCGCAAGAGGCAGUUCACUGAACAACAAGCAGAGCGAUGGUGGGCUGAACACCGACCAACUCUACAACGGCAGUAUGGUAUCCUGACUGGAGACAGCGUCAUCCCGUCAAGAACAUCCCGAGAGAAGGGAUAGGUUUUAUCAUCGACUAUCUGUUGUGCAGAACGUUAACUUUCCUGGUGGAUUCUCUGGACGACCAGUACUGUUGUGUCCUGGGAACAGAUGCAGUAGAGCAACGCGAGGUGUGUUCUGCAUAAAGUUAGAGCUCGCUGAAUCUCUUGAACUUGCCCACCCCAAAGCUCCUGCUUGAUGAAACCACGCACUGUUAGCCAUGGCUUGUUCUCCCUGUACAACAGAAACAGUUUCUAGUAACAUUUAGCUUUCUUCUCAAUUUA